GACGAAUGCUGGCUGCGUGCUUAACACAUGCAAGUCGAACGGUGAAGGAGGGAUUGCCCUCCGGAUCAGUGGCGAACGGGUGAGUAACACGUGGGCAACCUGCCCCUCACUCUGGGAUAACGCCGGGAAACCGGCGCUAAUACCGGAUACGACCAGGCGCGACAUCUCGCCUGGUGGAAAGAAUUUCGGUGAGGGAUGGGCCCGCGGCCUAUCAGCUAGUUGGUGGGGUAACGGCACACCAAGGCGACGACGGGUAGCCGGCCUGAGAGGGCGACCGGCCACACUGGGACUGAGACACGGCCCAGACUCCUACGGGAGGCAGCAGUGGGGAAUAUUGCGCAAUGGGCGAAAGCCUGACGCAGCGACGCAGCGUGAGGGACGAAGGCCUUCGGGUUGUAAACCGCUUUCAGCAGGGACGAAACUGACUGUACCUGCAGAAGAAGCCCCGGCUAACUACGUGCCAGCAGCCGCCGAAAAAC
rnacentral:rRNA from 1 species